rnacentral:lncRNA from 1 species
UGGAAAAGCUCGAGUUGCAGGAACGCAAGAAGCUUCAACCUCGGCCUGAACUCUCACCCAUAUAUGGACAGUUAAAGUAAAUGGUUGUGGUUCGUUGGGAGCAUUAACAGAUGUAUAUAAAUUAUGCAAGUCAUAGAACUCUUAUUUUAGCUGUCCACAGUGUUUGAAAUUGCUCGGUUACAAUGAUUUGGUAUUUUCAGUCUUAAAAGAGUAUCUUAAGGUCUGCUUUCUCACUCCGUUUCUUUCAAAUGUGCUAA